rnacentral:pre_miRNA from 1 species
GUAGUACUCCCUCCGUUCCAAAUUACUCGUCGCUGAAAUGGAUGUAUCUAGAUGUUCUAGAUACAUCCAUAUGUGCGACAAGUAAUUCAGAACGGAGGGAGUACAUA